GAUGAACGCUGGCGGCGUGCCUAAUACAUGCAAGUCGAGCGAACAGACGAGGAGCUUGCUCCUCUGACGUUAGCGGCGGACGGGUGAGUAACACGUGGAUAACCUACCUAUAAGACUGGGAUAACUUCGGGAAACCGGAGCUAAUACCGGAUAAUAUAUUGAACCGCAUGGUUCAAUAGUGAAAGACGGUUUUGCUGUCACUUAUAGAUGGAUCCGCGCCGCAUUAGCUAGUUGGUAAGGUAACGGCUUACCAAGGCAACGAUGCGUAGCCGACCUGAGAGGGUGAUCGGCCACACUGGAACUGAGACACGGUCCAGACUCCUACGGGAGGCAGCAGUAGGGAAGCUGCCGCAAUGGGCGAAAGCCUGACGGAGCAACGCCGCGUGAGUGAUGAAAGUCUUCGGAUCGGAAAACUCUGUUAUUAGGGAAGAACAAAUGUGUAAGUAACUAUUCACGUCUUGACGUUACCUAAUCAGAAUGCCACGGCUAACUACGUU
rnacentral:rRNA from 1 species